CUGCUUGAGGAAGGAGAGGCGACGACAUCCUUUUCUAGCGGACUGGAGUGAAACAUUACAGGGACCAGAGCAGGAGAAACAGCCAGAGGGGAGUUCAAACACCAUUUCAACACUUUCGUAAGAGACUUCAGAACCAGAGAAGCGACCUGCUGACUUCCUGUCGCCUUCCUGAGCGCCACCAGGAUGAACUAGGCUUGAGUCUGAGAGCGAUCUGGAGGGAGAACGUCCGUGACUUCUAAUAACAGGGACCAGAGCCAGAGAAACAACCAGAGGGGAAUUCAAACACAUCUUCCACACUUCCGUCUUUAAAGCGACCUCAUAACCAGCGAAGCGACCUGCGGACUUCUGUCGCCUCUGUGAGCGCCACUACGAUGGCGCUCUCCAAGGAACGGUUCUGGAAA